GGGGGGGGGGGGGGGGGGGGGGGGGGGGGGGGGGUGGGGCGGGGGCGGGGGGGGAACGCUGGCGGCGGGCGGCGGGCAGGGGAGUAAUGCAUCGGAACGUAUCCUCGAGCGGGGGAUAACCCAGCGAAAGGUGGGCUAAUACCGCAUGAGCUCUGAGGAGGAAAGCGGGGGACCUGCGAGGGCCUCGCGCUGGAGGAGCGGCCGAUGUCCGAUUAGCUAGCUGGUGGGGUAAAGGCUUACCAAGGCGACGAUCGGUAGCUGGUCUGAGAGGAUGAUCAGCCACACUGGGACUGAGACACGGCCCAGACUCCUACGGGAGGCAGCAGUGGGGAAUUUUGGACAAUGGGGGCAACCCUGAUCCAGCCAUGCCGCGUGAGUGAAGAAGGCCUUCGGGUUGUAAAGCUCUUUCGGACGGAACGAAAUGGGCGGGACUAAUACUCCUGUCUGAUGACGGUACCGUAAGAAGAAGCACCGGCUAACUACGUG
rnacentral:rRNA from 1 species